UACGUAGGGGCCGAGCGUUGUCCGGAUUUAUUGGGUUUAAAGGGUGCGUAGGCGGCUUUGUAAGUCAGUGGUGAAAUACUCCAGCUUAACUGGAGGGGUGCCAUUGAUACUGUAGGACUUGAGUACAGACGAGGUAGGCGGAAUUGACGGUGUAGCGGUGAAAUGCUUAGAUAUCGUCAAGAACACCGAUAGCGAAGGCAGCUUACUAGGCUGUAACUGACGCUGAGGCACGAAAGUGUGGGGAUCAAACAGG
rnacentral:rRNA from 1 species